rnacentral:rRNA from 1 species
UAGAGUUUGAUCAUGGCUCAGGAUGAACGCUGGCGGCGUGCCUAACACAUGCAAGUCGAGCGAAGCACUUUGUUAGAACUUUUCGGAGGGACGGGGAAGUGACUGAGCGGCGGACGGGUGAGUAACGCGUGGGCAACCUGCCUUACACAGGGGGAUAACAGUUAGAAAUGACUGCUAAUACCGCAUAAGACCACAUUGCCGCAAGGCAGGGUGGUAAAAACUCCGGUGGUGUAAGAUGGGCCCGCGUCUGAUUAGGUAGUUGGCAGGGUAGAGGCCUACCAAGCCUACGAUCAGUAGCCGGCCUGAGAGGGUGGACGGCCACAUUGGGACUGAGACACGGCCCAAACUCCUACGGGAGGCAGCAGUGGGGAAUAUUGCACAAUGGGGGAAACCCUGAUGCAGCGACGCCGCGUGAGUGAGGAAGUAUUUCGGUAUGUAAAGCUCUAUCAGCAGGGAAGAAAAUGACGGUACCUGACUAAGAAGCCCCGGCUAACUACGUGCCAGCAGCCGCGGUAAUACGUAGGGGGCAAGCGUUAUCCGGAUUUACUGGGUGUAAAGGGAGCGUAGACGGAGGAGCAAGUCUGAUGUGAAAAUCCGGGGCCCAACCCCGGAACUGCAUUGGAAACUGUUUAUCUAGAGUGUCGGAGAGGCAAGUGGAAUUCCUAGUGUAGCGGUGAAAUGCGUAGAUAUUAGGAGGAACACCAGUGGCGAAGGCGGCUUGCUGGACGAUGACUGACGUUGAGGCUCGAAAGCGUGGGGAGCAAACAGGAUUAGAUACCCUGGUAGUCCACGCCGUAAACGAUGACUACUAGGUGUCGGGAGGCAAAGCCUUUCGGUGCCGCAGCCAACGCAAUAAGUAGUCCACCUGGGGAGUACGUUCGCAGAAUGAAACU